AUUAAUUUAUUUUGGGUAAUUGCUUGGUAAAAAGAUAGAAAAAUUAAAAGUUGAUUUAAGGGUUUAAACAAUAAAUGUUAGAGAAAAACAUUGAGAACUAAAGCUGAAAUUUCUUAAGGUUUUGAUUAAGCAAUUAGAGGUGAAUAGAGGUCGGGUUUGGCGGAAGUGAACGGUGGCCGGCGAGAGACCGGUCAGGCCGUGGUGGCCUGACCCGUCUGCUCUGUUGAGCAGACCCAAGUCUGCUCAACAAGAGCAGACGUGGUCUGCUCUAUAAGAGCAGACCUGUGUCUGCUCUAAAAGAGCAGACCUGGUCUGCUCAAAAGAGCAGACCGGCUGCUCUUAGGGAGCAGACCAGCUGGUCUGCUCAAUGGGCAGACCAGCCGGUCGCUCCGGAUCCGCGUGCCACCGAAAUUGUUUUUUUAGGGUGUUUUUAUAAAUUAAACCAAUCAAUUUAGUGUGAAAUUAAAAGCUGAAAAUGGAUUUAGAAAGUUUAAUAAAUGAGUUUUGAAAUAGAAGUAAAAUUGAAUUAUGGCAUAGAUUAAAUUGAAGUUUAAAUACUUGAAUAUAAAGUUUAAGCCGGGUUUAAGUGGAUUUAAAUGGCUAAAAGCUGAUAAAAGGAGGCCGAUGCGUUAUUAGACGUUGGAGAUUAAAGUUGUUGGAGAGUUGAUAAAAUAGUAGUAGUUAGCUAAAAUAAUGGGUUAGAAGUUAAACUUAGCUACUAAUUUGAUUGAGGGAUUUGUUAAAUGGUAAGUCAAAUCGGUUAAACAAGUCGUUAAGAAGGCGAGAGUAAAAGAAAUGGACUUAGAACUAAUUCAAGCUUAAAUGCUUGAAUAUAAACGCGAAAUUUUGAAAGUAAGGUAAUAUAUGAAUUAAGACGUUAAUUUAGUAUUUAUUUGUAUUAUAGAUCCUACGCAUAUUUGGGAUUGGAGAAAUAGAGAAUUUGGAGGUUAAACAACGGGCUAUUUUAUUGUGCUUUAUGAAAUUUGGAUUAAGCGAUCGAGUGUUUUCUUUCAGGAUUAAUACUUGAUGAUGUGGUCGAGCUUCCAACCAUUCUUCCGGAAGUCUCAAUUAUGGGGAGUCCUAUUUUUCUUAGAGCUGCAGUAGUCAAGAUAUUAGAGUUAGCUUGUAGCAAACAAUUUACGUUUAUUUUAUGCCAUGACAUAAUGAUGUAUUUUGGGAAAAUGAAUUAUCCAGGAAUUUAUUAUAUGGUUAAUUGGUAUUUUAUACAGAGUGGUUUGUGCGUUUUCACAGGUGUGGUUUAUUAAGUUUACAGGCGUUAUAUUGCCGAUUUUUCGAAAA